CCCGUACACAAAAAUGCACAUGCUGUGAGCUCGAUGAGUAGGGCGGGACACGUGGUAUCCUGUCUGAAUAUGGGGGGACCAUCCUCCAAGGCUAAAUACUCCUGACUGACCGAUAGUGAACCAGUACCGUGAGGGAAAGGCGAAAAGAACCCCGGCGAGGGGAGUGAAAAAGAACCUGAAACCGUGUACGUACAAGCAGUGGGAGCACGCUUAGGCGUGUGACUGCGUACCUUUUGUAUAAUGGGUCAGCGACUUAUAUUCUGUAGCAAGGUUAACCGAAUAGGGGAGCCGAAGGGAAACCGAGUCUUAACUGGGCGUUAAGUUGCAGGGUAUAGACCCGAAACCCGGUGAUCUAGCCAUGGGCAGGUUGAAGGUUGGGUAACACUAACUGGAGGACCGAACCGACUAAUGUUGAAAAAUUAGCGGAUGACUUGUGGCUGGGGGUGAAAGGCCAAUCAAACCGGGAGAUAGCUGGUUCUCCCCGAAAGCUAUUUAGGUAGCGCCUCGUGAAUUCAUCUCCGGGGGUAGAGCACUGUUUCGGCAAGGGGGUCAUCCCGACUUACCAACCCGAUGCAAACUGCGAAUACCGGAGAAUGUUAUCACGGGAGACACACGGCGGGUGCUAACGUCCGUCGUGAAGAGGGAAACAACCCAGACCGCCAGCUAAGGUCCCAAAGUCAUGGUUAAGUGGGAAACGAUGUGGGAAGGCCCAGACAGCCAGGAUGUUGGCUUAGAAGCAGCCAUCAUUUAAAGAAAGCGUAAUAGCUCACUGGUCGAGUCGGCCUGCGCGGAAGAUGUAACGGGGCUAAACCAUGCACCGAAGCUGCGGCAGCGACGCU
rnacentral:rRNA from 1 species